rnacentral:rRNA from 1 species
UAUCAGUCCAGGUGGUUGCCUUCGCCACUGGUGUUCCUUCCUAUAUCUACGCAUUUCACCGCUACACAGGAAAUUCCACCACCCUCUACCGUACUCUAGCUCAGUAGUUUUGGGAUGCAGUUCCCAGGUUGAGCCCGGGGAUUUCACAUCCAACUUGCUGAACCACCUACGCGCGCUUUACGCCCAGUAAUUCCGAUUAACGCUUGCACCCUUCGUAUUACCGCGGCUGCUGGCACGAAGUUAGCCGGUGCUUAUUCUGUUGGUAACGUCAAAACAGCAAGGUAUUAACUUACUGCCCUUCCUCCCAACUUAAAGUGCUUUACAAUCCGAAGACCUUCUUCACACACGCGGCAUGGCUGGAUCAGGCUUUCGCCCAUUGUCCAAUAUUCCCCACUGCUGCCUCCCGUAGGAGUCUGGACCGUGUCUCAGUUCCAGUGUGACUGAUCAUCCUCUCAGACCAGUUACGGAUCGUCGCCUUGGUAGGCCUUUACCCCACCAACUAGCUAAUCCGACCUAGGCUCAUCUGAUAGCGUGAGGUCCGAAGAUCCCCCACUUUCUCCCUCAGGACGUAUGCGGUAUUAGCGCCCGUUUCCGGACGUUAUCCCCCACUACCAGGCAGAUUCCUAGGCAUUACUCACCCGUCCGCCGCUGAAUCCAGGAGCAAGCUCCCUUCAUCCGCUCGACUUGCAUGUGUUAGGCCUGCCGCCAGCGUUCAAUCUGAGCCAGGAUCAAACCCUU